UCCCUGGUGGUCCAGUGGUAAAGACUCUGUGUUUUCACUGCAGGGGGCACAGGUUUGAUACCUGGUUGGGGAA
rnacentral:tRNA from 1 species